GUAUAGAACCUACCUUAUAUUGGGGGAUAGCCCAGAGAAAUUUGGAUUAAUACCCCAUAGUAUGCUGAAGUGGCAUCCUUUAGUAUUAAAGAUUUAUCGAUAUAAGAUGGCUAUGCGUUCUAUUAGCUAGUUGGUAUGGUAACGGCAUACCAAGGCUACGAUAGAUAGGGGUCCUGAGAGGGAGAUCCCCCACACUGGUACUGAGACACGGACCAGACUCCUACGGGAGGCAGCAGUGAGGAAUAUUGGACAAUGGAGGCAACUCUGAUCCAGCCAUGCCGCGUGCAGGAAGACUGCCCUAUGGUUGUAAACUGCUUUUAUAGAGGAAGAAACCCCCCGACGAGUCGGGUCUGACGGUACUCUACGAAUAAGGAUCGGCUAACUCCGUGCCAGCAGCCGCGGUAAUACGGAGGAUCCAAGCGUUAUCCGGAAUCAUUGGGU
rnacentral:rRNA from 1 species